rnacentral:rRNA from 1 species
AGAGCAUCCUACGGGAGGCAGCAGUGGGGAAUAUUGCACAAUGGGCGCAAGCCUGAUGCAGCCAUGCCGCGUGUAUGAAGAAGGCCUUCGGGUUGUAAAGUACUUUCAGCAGUGAGGAAGGUGGGUAUGUUAAUAGCAUACUCAUUUGACGUUAGCUGCAGAAGAAGCACCGGCUAACUCCGUGCCAGCAGCCGCGGUAAUACGGAGGGUGCGAGCGUUAAUCGGAAUUACUGGGCGUAAAGCGCAUGCAGGUGGUUUGUUAAGUCAGAUGUGAAAGCCCCGGGGCUCAACCUCGGAAUUGCAUUUGAAACUGGCAAACUAGAGUACUGUAGAGGGGGUAGAAUUUCAGGUGUAGCGGUGAAAUGCGUAGAGAUCUGAAGGAAUACCGGUGGCGAAGGCGGCCCCCUGGACAGAUACUGACACUCAGAUGCGAAAGCGUGGGGAGCAAACAGGAUUAGAUACCCUGGUAG